UACGUAGGGUGCAAGCGUUGUCCGGAAUUAUUAGGCGUAAAGAGCUCGUAGGCGGUUUGUCGCGUCUGCUGUGAAAGCCCGAGGCUCAACCUCGGGUCUGCAGUGGGUACGGGCAGACUGGAGUGCGGUAGGGGAGAUUGGAACUCCUGGUGUAGCGGUGGAAUGCGCAGAUAUCAGGAAGAACACCGAUGGCGAAGGCAGAUCUCUGGGCCGUUACUGACGCUGAGGAGCGAAAGCAUGGGGAGCGAACAGG
rnacentral:rRNA from 1 species